CCCCCCCUUUUUUUUUUUUACCUUCAAGCGUCACAUUGGACCCAUCCUUCACCAAUACCACUUGCAUCUUUAAUUCUAAAGUGUAAAGAUGGUGCCGUUAGAUCUUAGAAUCUCGAAUUUGGUCGAACUGCCUAAUGUAUAUAGCAAACAAUCUACUAUUUUUCUCUGCCUAGCGACCAGUUCCGAUGCCAAUUGCUGCAAUCCAAUAAUAGCCGACC
rnacentral:lncRNA from 1 species